rnacentral:rRNA from 1 species
UACGAAGGGGGCUAGCGCUGCUCGGAAUCACUGGGCGUAAAGGGCUCGUAGGCGGUUUGUCGCGUCGGGAGUGAAAACCAGGUGCUUAACACCUGGCUUGCUUUCGAUACGGGCAGACUAGAGGUAUUCAGGGGAGAACGGAAUUCCUGGUGUAGCGGUGAAAUGCGCAGAUAUCAGGAGGAACACCGGUGGCGAAGGCGGUUCUCUGGGAAUAUCCUGACGCUGAGGAGCGAAAGUGUGGGGAGCGAACAGG